UAGACGGCCUUAGAAGCUUCGAGGAUAACAUAACGAAAGAGAUUAGAAAACAAACACAAAGCGGGAAAACACAAUUGUUGGAUAAUUUUAGAAUACUGGAUAACAAAGCAGGACACGGACUUAGGUCUCCUUCUGUUCUUCAGCAGGCUUGGGUGCUGCAUCUUCUUUGAUCUCCUCAGUACUUUCGUCCUGGUUAAUAUCAUUCAAACAAACACAUCAUAACCAUAUUUGAACAAGGAAGGAUGAGCGAAUCAAUAUCAUAAUGCAAAAAGUUGACCAUUUAUGAACAAUGUUGGUGGUCAAUUCUAGGAAGAAAGAAAGAAAGUUUAUCAAGUUUCAAGGGUUAAAAUAUUAGCUGUUACCUGCAUGUCGGAAGUCCAGAGAGUAAGGUUGUCACGGAGAAGCUGCAUGAUCAAGGUACUGUCCUUGUAUGACUCCUCGCCUAGAGUAUCCAACUCAGCAAUUGCUUCAUCAAACGCCUGUUAAAAAUCCCAAAUUCUCACCUCGUCAAUUACACAUACAUAUAGGUACAUGACAUGAACUUUGUAUACGUAAACGAGAUCAGAAAGUUUUCAUUACCUGCUUAGCGAGACUGCAAGCACGGUCUGGAGAGUUGAGAAUCUCAUAGUAAAAGACAGAGAAGUUCAAGGCCAGACCAAGACGGAUCGGGCACACAUUUUGAAUCUUUUUUGGGGUCGGUCGCUAGUAAUGACCGCACUAUAAACGUCUACAUAUCUAUAAUCGUCAAAUGCUCCGCUUAAAAUUGGUAAGUAAACCUAAGCAAACUGGGGGCAAAACACUGUGAAUUUGGUUUCCGCAAGCUGUUCCAAGGUAUUCUUUCAUUACUUGGCUUGUGAUCAAAAACCGUUUGUCAACUGGUGAUCGUAUGAGGAUUUGGGGUGCCCAUCAGGAGUGCUUGCUGUGUGGGGGGAGAAGAACGAAACUAGAGAUCAUCUCUUUUUCGCUUGUCCUUACAGCUACAUGGUUUGGAUUCUAGUAAUAUGGAGACUUCUUGGAAGCCAAAUAACUCCCAAUUGUCAAGACACUGUUACAAGGAUGCAUCGUUGUCGUGGCUCUAAUCUAGAUAAAGUUUUGGAGAAAAUAGCUUUUUAAAUGAUUAUAUACCAUAUAUGGCGAGAGAGGAAUGCACAAAGGCAUGGCAAAGCUUGGAUACCGAUGGAAAAACUAGCACAUCAGAUUGAUAAGACUAUGAGAAACAAAAUAUCAUCUCUGAAAUAUUUGUAUGGGAGCAAAUUAGAGGGUCUACUGAGGCGUUGGUUUGAAGUCACAAGCUGAAUUUCAGUUUUGUUUAAAUCAUUCAUAGGCUUUUUUUCAUUUAAAUUACCGCUUAGAAGCUAGCUAGUUAACUACAAUUGAUCAUGUAAAUUCCUAUUCUUUGUUCAUUAUCAAUAAAUUUGAAAGUUCAUUAAAAAAAACCUACAAAUAUGUGUAAGAAAAACAUCACAAAAGAACUGACAAAUCAUUAAUACGAAGAUGAUAUGAAUUCAGAACAAGGCACAAGCCGAAAUGCAAUGAAUAAGAAAAUAAAACCAGAUAAAAAUCCAGCAGCAUCCAGGAUUAGGAAGAGCAAACAAAGGACAAGAAUAGACGGCCUUAGAAGCUUCGAGGAUAACAUAACGAAAGAGAUUAGAAAACAAACACAAAGCGGGAAAACACAAUUGUUGGAUAAUUUUAGAAUACUGGAUAACAAAGCAGGACACGGACUUAGGUCUCCUUCUGUUCUUCAGCAGGCUUGGGUGCUGCAUCUUCUUUGAUCUCCUCAGUACUUUCGUCCUGGUUAAUAUCAUUCAAACAAACACAUCAUAACCAUAUUUGAACAAGGAAGGAUGAGCGAAUCAAUAUCAUAAUGCAAAAAGUUGACCAUUUAUGAACAAUGUUGGUGGUCAAUUCUAGGAAGAAAGAAAGAAAGUUUAUCAAGUUUCAAGGGUUAAAAUAUUAGCUGUUACCUGC
rnacentral:lncRNA from 1 species